rnacentral:rRNA from 1 species
GACGAACGCUGGCGGCGUGCUUAACACAUGCAAGUCGAACGGAAAGGCCCUGCUUUUGUGGGGUGCUCGAGUGGCGAACGGGUGAGUAACACGUGAGUAACCUGCCCUUGACUUUGGGAUAACUUCAGGAAACUGGGGCUAAUACCGGAUAGGAGCUCCUGCUGCAUGGUGGGGGUUGGAAAGUUUCGGCGGUUGGGGAUGGACUCGCGGCUUAUCAGCUUGUUGGUGGGGUAGUGGCUUACCAAGGCUUUGACGGGUAGCCGGCCUGAGAGGGUGACCGGCCACAUUGAGACUGAGAUACGAGCCAGACUCCGGCGGGAGGCAGCAGUGGGGAAUAUUGCACAAUGGGCGGAAGCCUGAUGCAGCAACGCCGCGUGCGGGAUGACGGCCUUCGGGUUGUAAACCGCUUUCGCCUGUGACGAAGCGUGAGUGACGGUAAUGGGUAAAGAAGCACCGGCUAACUACGUG